rnacentral:lncRNA from 1 species
GCACUGUGUCAGGCAGCUGCCGAGCAGUCAAAAGUACGUCUGUUUGUCUCGAGGAAUAAAAAUAUUUGUCAGUGAUGUGCUUUACCAGUUUUUAAUAUACAUUAUGAUAGAUUAUUGAACGUCGUGUGAACAUCGACUAAAAUGAUGAAAGAAGUUACUUGAGGUACGUUUGAAGAGGUACGCACACACCAUACAGCUACAGAAACGUUUACAAUUGUGCGAAUGGGCCAUACGAAAACUACAAGACGAUGAAGUGUUCUUGAGUAAAAUAUUGUCAACGGAUGAGGUCACAUUUAGUAAAAACUAUGGAGCAUUUAAGCGUUGCAACAUUUACUACUGGUCAUAGUAAAAUAAUUGCUCCAUAUUUCAUUGAUGGCACGCUAAAUAGUUAUAAGUUAAAAAAAAAGAAUAAAAGAAUCUUGGAAGAUGAUUUGUCAGAAUUAUUAGAGGACAUUUCACUGGAAAUACAAUUCGCGUGGCUCCAACCAAUCAACCAACCAAGUCACACAACUUAUUGAAAUUAUUGAACUUAUUGAAGCAGAUGAUACAGCAUACAACUUGUCGAACUUGUCGAACUUGUCGAACUUAUCGAGCUUGUCGAACUUGUCGAACUUGUUGAACUUGUCGAACUUGUCGAACUUAUGGUACUUGUCGAACUUAUGGAACUUAUGGAACUUAUGGACCUUGUCGAACUUGUCGAACUUAUGGACCUUGUCGAACUUGUCGAACUUGUCGAACCGAUGAAACUUGUCGAACCGAUGAAACUUGUCGAACGGAUGGAACUUGUC